GGGGUUGUGGCUCAGAGGUAGAGCACUUGUCUAGCACACACGAGGCAUUGGGUUCAAUCCUCAGCACCA
rnacentral:tRNA from 1 species